CUUUUUGGGGUCAUUUUGGGGCUUUUUGGGGUCAAUUUUUGGGGUCAUUUGGUUCCUUUUUGGGGUCUUUUUUGGGGUCAAUUUUUGGGCUCUUUCUUCGGAAUCUUUUUGGGGUCAUUUUGGGUCUUUUUGGUGUCAACUUUUGGGGUCUUUUGGGUCAUUUUUGGGUCCUGCUUGGGAUCUUUUUUGGGGGUCCCUUUUUGGGGUCAUUUGGGUUUUUUUGGGGGUCAUUUUGGGGCUUUUUGGGGUCAAUUUUUGGGGGUUCUUGUGGGUCCUCCUUGAGGUCUUUUUUUGGGAUCUUUUUGGGGUCAUUUUGAAGCUUUUUGGUGUCAGUUUUUGGGGUCAUUUGGGUCAUUUUUGGGUCCUGCUUGGGAUCUUUUUUUGGGGUCCCUUUUUGGGGUCAUUUGGGUCCUUUUUGGGGUCAUUUUGGGUCUUUUUGGUGUCAAUUUUUGGGGUCAUUCGGGUCAUUUUUGGGUCCUGUUUGGCUUCUUUUUUGGGAUUUCCUUUGUUUCUCAUUGGCGUCAACUUUUGGGGUCAUUUGUGUCCAUUUUGGGGCCGAAUUUCGCCUCGUUUUGGGGCCAUUUCGGCUCCUUUUCAACAGGAAAGUGGGAUUUUACCAAAAAUUGCUGUUUUUUCCCCAAAAUUUGCUCCCCCCCCCCUCGUUUUUAAGGAACUGGAGGCCAUCAAGGCUCGCGUCCGAGAGAUGGAGGAGGAGGCAGAGAAACUCAAAGAGCUCCAAAACGAAGUGGAGAAACAGAUGAACAUGAGCCCCCCCCCGGGCAAUGGUGGGUCAUUUUUGGGGUCAUUUUGGGGGAUUUUGGGUCAUUUUGGGGUGUGGGAAAAUCGGGGGGUCAAUUUUGGGGGGAUUUGGGGUCAAAUUUGGGGGAUUUGGGGUCAUUUUGGGGUCCCACUUUAGGGUCCCAUUGGUGCCACGUUUUGGGGUCGCUUUGGGGUUUCAUUUGGGGUCAUUUUGGGGUGACUUUUGGGGUUUUCUUUGGGGUCCCACUGGUGCCACAUUUGGGGUUCAUUUUGGUGGGAUUUGGGGUCAUUUUGGUGGGAUUUGGGGUCAUUUUGGGGUCCCAUUUUGGGUCCCAUUGGUGCCACGUUUUGGGGUCACUUUGGGGUUUUAUUUGGGGUGAUUUUGGGGUGACUUUUGGGGUCAAAAUGGGGUUCAUUUGGGUGGGAUUUGGGGCCAUUUUGGUGGCAUUUUGGGCCAUUUUGGUGGGAUUUGGGGCCAUUUUGGGGUGGAUUUGGGGCCAUUUUGGGGUCCCAUUUUGGGGUCCCAUUGGUGCCACGUUUUGGGGUCGCUUUGGGGUUUCUUUUGGGGUGAUUUUGGGGUCACAUUGGGGGUCAUUUUGGGGGGAUUUGGGGUCAUUUUGGGGUCCCAUUUUGGGGUCCCAUUUUGGAGUCAUUGCUGCCACAUUUUGGGGUCAUUUUGGGGGGAUUUGGGGUCAUUUUGGGGUCCCAUUUUUGGGUCCCAUUGGUGCCACAUUUUGGGGUCGCAUUGGGGUUUUAUUUGGGGUCCCACUGGUGCCACAUUUGGGGUUCAUUUGGGUGGGAUUUUGGGUUCAUUUUGGGGGGAUUUGGGGCCAUUUUGGUGGGAUUUGGGGUCAUUUUGGUGGGAUUUGGGGCCAUUUUGGUGGGAUUU
ensembl:lncRNA